rnacentral:rRNA from 1 species
UACGUAGGGGGCUAGCGUUGUCCGGAAUCAUUGGGCGUAAAGAGCGUGUAGGCGGCCCGGUAAGUCCGCUGUGAAAGUCGGGGGCUCAACCCUCGAAUGCCGGUGGAUACUGUCGGGCUAGAGUGCGGAAGAGGCGAGUGGAAUUCCUGGUGUAGCGGUGAAAUGCGCAGAUAUCAGGAGGAACACCUGUGGUGUAGACAGCUUGCUGGACCAUUUCUGACACUGAGACACGAAAGCGUGGGUAGCAAACAGG